CCUACGGGAGGCAGCAGUGAGGAAUAUUGGUCAAUGGACGAGAGUCUGAACCAGCCAAGUAGCGUGAAGGAUGACUGCCCUAUGGGUUGUAAACUUCUUUUAUAUGGGAAUAAAAUGUUCCACGUGUGGGAUUUUGUAUGUACCAUAUGAAUAAGGAUCGGCUAACUCCGUGCCAGCAGCCGCGGUAAUAAGGAGGAUCCGAGCGUUAUCCGGAUUUAGUGGGUUUAAAGGGAGCGUAGGUGGAUUGUUAAGUCAGUUGUGAAAGUUUGCGGCUCAACCGUAAAAUUGCAGUUGAAACUGGCAGUCUUGAGUACAGUAGAGGUGGGCGGAAUUCGUGGUGUAGCGGUGAAAUGCUUAGAUAUCACGAAGAACUCCGAUUGCGAAGGCAGCUCACUGGACUGCAACUGACACUGAGGCUCGAAAGUGUGGGUAUCAAACAGGAUUAGAUACCCCAGUAGUC
rnacentral:rRNA from 1 species